CCUACGGGUGGCAGCAGUAGGGAAUUUUCCACAAUGGGCGAAAGCCUGAUGGAGCAACGCCGCGUGGGUGAAGAAGGUCUUCGGAACGUAAAACCCUGUUGCUAGAGAAGAAAGUUCGUGAGAGUAACUGUUCACGUUUCUACUGUAUCUAACCAGAAAGCCACGGCUAACGCCGUGCCAGGAGCCGCGGUAAUCCGUAGGUGGCAAGCGUUAUCCGGAUUUAUUGGGCGUAAGGGUAACGCAGGCGGUAUUUUAAGUAUGAUGUGCAAGCCUUCGGCUUAACCGGAGUAGUGCAUUGGACACUGGGAGACUUGAGUGCAGAAGAGGAGAGUGGAACUCCAU
rnacentral:rRNA from 1 species